UUUUGGAUUAAUUGCAACAAAAAGGAAUUAUUUUACAUUUUAGAAAGAAAAUUCUGUGUUAUUUUCUCAUCUCUUGGCUGAACCCUAUUCUCCCUCUCCCUUCAAUCUUUUCACUUCAAAUCUUCCUCUCUUGUGUGUUGUUGAGCUUGUUGGAGCUUGGGGGAUUUUGGUGUGCUUUGAUUGUGAGAACUUUGAGGAUUACCGGCACUUGGUCAGGAGCACCCGGAGAUUUGGAAUGUCCAUAUUUGCGGGACAUUCGGAAAGGGUAAAUCUGUCUCUGAUCAGCCAUGAGUAUGGGACUUGGGCGAUAUAUGUACAUGUUCGGGCCACACUAGACCAAGUGGGUUGGGGUCUACCAGUGUUGAAACUUUUGUAACUCUAUUUUGCCGCUUAGAUCAACUAAGGAGAAAAGAGUUGUAAUAUUUUGUAAAAUGAUUUUUGGGAUCCCGAAACAUGCAACUUUUGUUUGUAAGGUUAAAAUUAUUACAGGUUUAUUUUCAUUCUGUUUUUGUUUAAAGUUUAAUUUUCGCGCUUAUUUUAAAACCAAUCCCGUUUAGGGUAUUAAGGUUUCUUAAUUAUAUUGGGUAGCAUGCCUAAAUCUUAGGGCAUUACAAUUUGGUAUCAGAGCCCAAGGAUUUUAAACUUCCUGUAGACCGGCCACAUGUACAAUCAUCGUCAGAGAUAAGCUUGACUCAUGGUGCAGUAAUAUGAAAUUAUUUAGUCGAAUGACUCCGAAGUUUUAAUGCUUAUUGAUUCAUUUGUUAAUUUA